rnacentral:lncRNA from 1 species
CGCCUCUGCUCCCCAGCCAGCUAGCGCGCCGGCCAGUCCGCCUGGGCCGUCUCCCGCUUCCCGCCGCUGCCGCUGCACGAUCGGCCGCGCCGCUACCAACCUUCCAGGUAGGUGUCCUAGCUGCGGAGGGGACCCCUGAAGCCGCAAGACGGUGCCCGCGGCACGGCCCGGGGGCAUUGUGCGCGGCCGGAGGGCCGAGGACCCUAAGGGACGCGCGGCCAGGCAGCCCGGCUCUGGGCCCCUGAGGCAUCAAAGCCCUCCGGGGGUUAGCCUGGCGGGAGAGCCGGGGGCCGCGGUGCCAGUCCCGCCCCGCGACCGAGGUGGGAGGGGGCGUCUGGGUCACGGUCCCCCUCGCUGCCCUCCCCUCCCCCUCGUCGUGGGGAAUUCCGGCCGCUAGCAUCCCCCAGCGCCGCCCCGCGCCCCGGCUCCCCCAGGCUGCUGGGAUACAAGCGAGGGCAGGGAGAGGGACUGAUGUAAUUGUCGGCGGAGAACCGAACCCGCGCGCCCGCUCCAGCUAACGCCUACGCCGCACCUUUCGGGGAAGCUGGGGAGCUGAGAGGAACGGCUGGGGAAGUUGUGCAUUGGGUUUUAUUGUGCGCGUGCACUGCAGACUGCCCUCACGGGGCACCCCUGCCCACCCACCCCUGCAGCCUUCCCUGCAGCCUUCGUCCACACCCCCAGCCAGGGCCGAGCCUGCCUUCCCCGGUUCAGACCGGGACAGGGUUUGCAUUGCAGUCCAGACGUGCUUCCCCUGCAUCGAGCCGGGAGCUGUCCGCAAAUCGUUUGGCGGGGGAUGCUGGGGGGAGGAGGGGAUGGGAAACCUGGGGAGGAAGCCGGAAAGAAGUAAUGACACCAGCAUAUUUUGUUAAAAAGCUUCUGGUGUAUAUAGGAACAUCUGCAUGACACCUUUUAAGCUGUUUUUGAAAGUUAUGACCAGAUACUGAUAUUGUGGCCAUUCUGGUUAUAUACCUGAAGGUAGCUUAAACAUAGAGACCUAAAGCUGGGGAAAGCAUUACAUAAUGGACAUGAAGCAAAUGACACGAAACUAAGUAAACCCACUGGGUUGCCAGAUUAUUUCUCUCUCCUGAUUGCAAAGUCCUAUAGGCUUUUCCUCUAUAAGAAUUUCCAUUUUUAAAUCGCUGUACUAGUUUUAGCAAACUGUGAUUUUUUUUCUCCAAAUAACACAAUUUUUCUUGACCAUCUUUUCUUAAAUGUAAUAAUUGCAUGUUAAUGGAUAGUUCUGUAUCACAGAGCUGAUGAAUAAACGUUGGAAAUCUUUCAGUCUUACCUUUGGAAAUCUUUCUCCAGAGGUAAGAUUUUUAAAUAUUCCAUCUUAAUAUCAUUAACUUUGUUUCCUUCUUGGAUGUAUUUUUCCCCUCUCGUCUCCCCUUUGUUUUUUGGAAGCAUUUCUACAGUUUUAGGUACUGCUAGCUCACAAUGUUGAUAUUCCUAUCCAAUGCUACAGCAUUGCAGAUACAAAGACUAAUAAUAAAUGAAACAGAAGACCUCACAGUAACUCAGAAUGAGCAGAGUUCCCAAGGUCGAAGGGAAGCUGCAGUGUAACUGGGGUAUAAUCACCUACAGAGAAUAUGCAUAGCCCUCCUUGGAUUAUAAGGAAGGCCAGGAUUGGUGGAAUAUUAUUUCUGUUAUUCUCUUACUCUGGAUUUCCUGUUUCCCCCUACAAAUAUUUUUUUCCACAAAGUAGAAACAAAAUAUUUUUAAAUUAGAGUCUUUGCUUUUAGAAAGCCUAAAAUUCCUGUUGUUGCUCAUAUUUUCAGUUGAUAUUGAUAACUCAGUAUACAUUUAGUGGAUGGAUUCCUUUUGGGAUAUCUCAGUUUCAAAUCAUGAUGGUUUAUCACAUGUCUCUUGGUUGUAGUAUAAUGUGAUUCGGUUGGACUUUUAUGGGGUUGCUUCACAUAAGUUUUCUUGUCCUUAGAUUGCUUUAACCUUUUGUUAGUUAAUUUUAUUCCAAAAAGAAAGGUAAAGUCCUUUCAAGAUUAAAUAUUUGUUGUUGGAAAUCUGUAGCACCACUGCAGAAAUAGAUUAGGUUAAUAUGUAAGUAGAUAAAAGUUUUUAUGUGACUUUAUUCAUGAAACUAUUGGCCUAAGGAGAAGUUUUAAAUUUUAGUAAAAUGCCUUGGUUAAGUAACAUUCAGUAAUCAUUCAGUAAAUACUUACUUAUUGAACACUGAUCUGUUCAAAGCAUUGGUGUGGGCAUGUGGGAGAUACAAAUAAGAAUGAAGAGUUUGUGGUCUUGUUGGGAGGAUAAGGUCUGUUUGGAGGGAUUUUAUUUUUUAACUGCACUGUUAAGUAAUAAUUAUAAUACUUCUUUUAGUUUGUUUUUAAUUUUGAAAGAGUCUCAUUAUCUAUUGAUGUAUGAGACUUUUUUCCCCCCACACUCAACAUUAUGUCACUUAGAUUCAUCCAUGUUCUGUGUCACUGUGGUUCAUUGACUUACACUGCUGUGCCAUAGUCUGUGUGUCUAUUACACAGUAUAGAAUUGUUGAUUGUGUAGGAUGUGUGGAUAUUCAACUUGUAGAUAUUGCCAAAUUAUUUUCCAAAGUUGUACAAAUUUAUACAAGCCAGGGAAAUAAACACACACGAUCAUCACAUACAAACAAGCGUGUGUGUGUGUAUGUGUAUGUGUGUCUGUGUGUGUGUUGAAUUGCCUUUCUUUGGCAUAGAGCUUUGGAGAACAUCUUGCUGGUAUUUCUAAAUGCAGUUGAAUGACAAUGUGGCAACAUCUUUAAUAUAAGAAAAAAAGGAAGAAAAGGGAAAAAAAGGAAAAAUAAGGUAGACCUCCCAAGGAUAAAAGCUUGCUGGUUACUUACCAGUAAAG